rnacentral:rRNA from 1 species
CCAAUCAAACUCAGUGAUAGCUGGUUCUCUCCGAAAUAUAUUUAGGUAUAGCCUCAAGAAUUGGCAUGUAGGGGUAAAGCACUGAAUGGGCUAGGGCUACUUACCGUGGUACCAAACCCAAUCAAACUCUGAAUACUACAUGUUUUAUCUUGGGAGUCAGGCGAUGGGUGAUAAAAUCCACCGUCGAGAGGGGAACAACCCAGACUACCAAAUAAGGUCCCUAAGUUCUAUCUAAGUGGAAAAGGAUGUAACAUUGCUUAGACAAUUAGGAGGUUGGCUUAGAAGCAGCCACCCUUUAAAGAAAGCGUAACAGCUCACUAAUCUAGCGAUGAUGCGCCGAAAAUAUAACGGGGCUAAGAUAGACACCGAAUUUGUAGACCCGCCAGGGUGGUAGGAGAGCGUUCUAAAAUCAGUGAAGCUGUAUCGGCAAGAAGCAGUGGAGAUUUUAGAAGUGAGCAUGCAGGUAUGAGUAACGAUAAAACAGGUGAGAAUCCUGUUCGCCGAAAACCCAAGGUUUCCUACGCGAUGCUCGUCAUCGUAGGGUUAGUCUGGUCCUAAGCCGAGUCCGAAAGGGGUAGGUGAUGGAAAAUCGGUUAAUAUUCCGAUACCAACUUUAAAUUGUGAUGGAAGGACGCAUAGGGCUAUCUGAGGUCGCUGAUGGAAUAGCGAUUCGAAGGAUUUAGGUAGAAAAAUUGGUAAAUCCGUUUUUUGUUUCCGAAAUCUGACAGGCUCUUGAAACUCUUCGGAGUGAAUUGAGAAUCAGGGAUGCCGUCGUGCCAAGAAAAGUUUCUAAGCUUAGUUUAAAGUUGCCAGUACCGUAAACCGACACAGGUGGGUGAGAUGAGUAUUCUCAGGCGCGCAGAAGAACCGUGAUUAAGGAACUCUGCAAAAUAGCACCGUAUCUUCGGUAUAAGGUGUGCCACAGCAAUGUGGUCUCAGCAAAGAGUCCCUCCCGACUGUUUACCAAAAACACAGCACUCUGCCAACAAGUAAUUGGAUGUAUAGGGUGUGACGCCUGCCCGGUGCUGGAAUGUUAAGGGGAUUUGUUAGGCAACGAAGCAAUGAACCGAAGCACCAGUAAACGGCGGCCGUAACUAUAACGGUCCUAAGGUAGCGAAAUUCCUUGUCG